GACGAACGCUGGCGGCGUGCUUAACACAUGCAAGUCGAACGAUGAUGCCCAGCUUGCUGGGCGGAUUAGUGGCGAACGGGUGAGUAACACGUGAGUAACCUGCCCUUGACUUCGGGAUAACUCCGGGAAACCGGGGCUAAUACCGGAUAUGAGCCGUCCUCGCAUGGGGGUGGUUGGAAAGUUUUUCGGUCAGGGAUGGGCUCGCGGCCUAUCAGCUUGUUGGUGGGGUGAUGGCCUACCAAGGCGACGACGGGUAGCCGGCCUGAGAGGGCGACCGGCCACACUGGGACUGAGACACGGCCCAGACUCCUACGGGAGGCAGCAGUGGGGAAUAUUGCACAAUGGGCGAAAGCCUGAUGCAGCGACGCCGCGUGAGGGAUGAAGGCCUUCGGGUUGUAAACCUCUUUCAGCAGGGAAGAAGCGCAAGUGACGGUACCUGCAGAAGAAGCGCCGGCUAACUACGUGCCAGCAGCCGCGGUAAUACGUAGGGCGCAAGCGUUGUCCGGAAUUAUUGGGCGUAAAGAGCUCGUAGGCGGUUUGUCGCGUCUGGUGUGAAAACUCGAGGCUCAACCUCGAGCUUGCAUCGGGUACGGGCAGACUAGAGUGCGGNAGGGGAGACUGGAAUUCCUGGUGUAGCGGUGGAAUGCGCAGAUAUCNNGAGGAACACCGAUGGCGAANNCANGUCUCUGGGCCGCAACUGACGCUGAGAGCNAAAGCNUGGGGAGCGAACAGG
rnacentral:rRNA from 1 species